UGCAUCUGAAGCCUGAAGAGGAUGAGAACCUCCGGGGGCAAGAGGUUCGACUCGAGCGACGCGAGAGAACGUUGCGUCAGCAACGGCCCGCAGGGCGAGUCAUCCUCUAUCACCGACCA
rnacentral:sRNA from 2 species